rnacentral:rRNA from 2 species
GCGUUAUCCGGAAUUAUUGGGCGUAAAGCGUUCGUAGGCUGUUUAUUAAGUCUGGAGUCAAAUCCCAGGGCUCAACCCUGGCUCGCUUUGGAUACUGGUAAACUAGAGUUAGAUAGAGGUAAGCGGAAUUCCAUGUGGAGCGGUGAAAUGCGUAGAUAUAUGGAAGAACACCAAAGGCGAAGGCAGCUUACUGGGUCUAUACUGACGCUGAGGGACGAAAGCGUGGGGAGCAAACAGGAUUAGAUACCCUGGUAGUCCACGCUGUAAACGAUGAUCAUUAGUCGGUGGAAAACUACUGACGCAGCUAACGCAUUAAAUGAUCCGCCUGAGUAGUAUGCUCGCAAGAGUGAAACUUAAAGGAAUUGACGGGGACCCGCACAAGCGGUGGAGCAUGUGGUUUAAUUUGAAGAUACGCGGAGAACCUUACCCACUCUUGACAUCCCCUGCAAAGCUAUAGAGAUAUAGUAGAGGUUAACAGGGUGACAGAUGGUGCAUGGUUGUCGUCAGCUCGUGUCGUGAGAUGUUUGGUCAAGUCCUGCAACGAGCGCAACCCCUAUCUUUAGUUACUAACGAGUCAUGUCGAGGACUCUAGAGAUACUGCCUGGGUAACCGGGAGGAAGGUGGGGAUGACGUCAAAUCAUCAUGCCUCUUACGAGUGGGGCUACACACGUGCUACAAUGGUCGGUACAAAGAGAAGCAAUAUGGCGACAUGGAGCAAAUCUCAAAAAGCCGAUCUCAGUUCGGAUUGAAGUCUGCAAUUCGACUUCAUGAAGUCGGAAUCGCUAGUAAUCGCAGAUCAGCUACGCUGCGGUGAAUACGUUCUCGGGUCUUGUACACACCGCCCGUCACACCAUGGGAGCUGGUAAUACCCAAAGUCGGUUUGCUAACCUCGGAGGCGACU